AGGCAAGAUGUGUAAUGUAGUCCUACAUGCUACGCAUUUUGGCUAACAUUACCUUCACUUAUUCGCCUUUGGCUCAACGUUAAUCUUGCUCUGCGAGGCC
rnacentral:ncRNA from 1 species